AGUGAACGCUGGCGGUAGGCCUAACACAUGCAAGUCGAACGGCAGCACAGUAAGAGCUUGCUCUUACGGGUGGCGAGUGGCGGACGGGUGAGGAAUACAUCGGAAUCUACUUUUUCGUGGGGGAUAACGUAGGGAAACUUACGCUAAUACCGCAUACGACCUACGGGCGAAAGCAGGGGAUCUUCGGACCUUGCGCGAUUGAAUGAGCCGAUGUCGGAUUAGCUAGUUGGCGGGGUAAAGGCCCACCAAGGCGACGAUCCGUAGCUGGUCUGAGAGGAUGAUCAGCCACACUGGAGCUGAGACACGGUCCAGACUCCUACGGGAGGCAGCAGUGGGGAAUAUUGGACAAUGGGCGCAAGCCUGAUCCAGCCAUACCGCGUGGGUGAAGAAGGCCUUCGGGUUGUAAAGCCCUUUUGUUGGGAAAGAAAAGCAGCAGGUUAAUACCCCGCUGUUCUGACGGUACCCAAGGAAUAAGCACCGGCUAACUUCGUG
rnacentral:rRNA from 1 species